rnacentral:rRNA from 1 species
AACGAACGCUGGCGGCAGGCCUAACACAUGCAAGUCGAACGCUCUUUUCGGAGAGAGUGGCGCACGGGUGAGUAACGCGUGGGAAUCUGCCCUUUGGUUCGGAAUAACCCUGGGAAACUAGGGCUAACACCGGAUGAGCCCCGAGUUCCGCGAGGGAGUUGGGGGAAAGUUUACGCCGAAGGAGGAGCCCGCGUCCGAUUAGCUAGUUGGUGAGGUAAGAGCUCACCAAGGCUUCGAUCGGUAGCUGGCUGAGAGGACGAUCAGCCACACUGGGACUGAGACACGGCCCAGACUCCUACGGGAGGCAGCAGUGGGGAAUAUUGGACAAUGGGCGCAAGCCUGAUCCAGCCAUGCCGCGUGAGUGAUGAAGGCCU